rnacentral:sRNA from 1 species
CAUAUCAUCCUUGCCCGUUAGAGUGAACAAUAUUAGCAAAGGCACCGAGAAGGAAUAAUCUUGGCCUGUUUAUCAAACGUAGACACAGGGUUUCACCGCGUGAGCCAGGAUGGUCUUGAUCUCCUGACCUCGUGAUCCACCCGCCUCGGCUUCCCAAAGUGCUAGGAUUACAGGUGUGAGCCACCGUGCCCAGCACACUCUUCAAAAACUCUUGAACAAGAUAUGAUGAGCUUCUGGAUAACGAAUGCAUCUUUGUGCAGGGAGGGUGUGUACCUUAACUCCACAAAGGAUCAAAGCUUCUACACUCAGGACCCUUCUGGACCUUGCCCUAUGCACCUCUUCAUCU